UGACUCUCUUUUUUCCUUGAAUGUGAACACAUGAGUGAAGCAUACAUCCAUUGUCCAUGGAGCAAGAAACAUGAGGAUGAAAAGCCAAUAUGUUAAGGACAUGAAGUGAAAAGUGGGAAGAGCUUCUUAUUCAUGUUAUCACUGAGCAGCGGGAACUGGGGGCUCUGCUCAUUAUAGUUGCCCACGGCCUCCAGUCAAUGAAAUUUCCGGCCAAUGAAAUGCUCUACUGUGACUGAAGCAGCAAAGGGAAGAUGGGUGGCUUUGAAAUCAGAAUUGGAUGCAGAGGGAGUCCCAGAGGCCAACACUGUGAACAUAAGAAGGGAAAGACCAGUUCUGCAAGCACAGAUGAAAUUUUGAGAAGCAGAGCUACAGUUCUGCCGGAGGCCUCUCCAGAUUGUGAUGCACUGGGAGCAAGCCACCGUGAACAUAUCCUCAGGUCUCCAGUCUUCUGCCAUCGCAUGAAAAAUGGAGCUUGUCAAACACGGAGCAGAGCUGAACUUUCUGAAUUCCACGGGACAGUUCAGAGUGCUUGGAAUGACACCCACCCGCAAUUA
rnacentral:lncRNA from 1 species